UACGAAGGGGGCUAGCGUUGCUCGGAAUGACUGGGCGUAAAGGGCGCGUAGGCGGUUCGUACAGUCAGACGUGAAAUUCCUGGGCUCAACCUGGGGGCUGCGUUUGAUACGUGCGGACUUGAGUGCGGAAGAGGGUCGUGGAAUUCCCAGUGUAGAGGUGAAAUUCGUAGAUAUUGGGAAGAACACCGGUGGCGAAGGCGGCGCCCUGGUCCGAUACUGACGCUGAGGCGCGAAAGCGUGGGGAGCAAACAGG
rnacentral:rRNA from 1 species